CACUAUAAAGGUGUCAAAAAAUAUUUUAUUUCUUACAUCCAAUUAGAUAAAAAUAUGGCCAAAACUCUCAAAUUUGUGUACGUAUAAUUUUAUUUCUUUCAAUAUUUCUUGUUGCAAAGACAAUUGAAGUGAAAUGUAAAGAGGAUGAUGAUUGUCCAGAACUAAUUGUUACUUCUCAUCUCCCCCCCAAAUGCAUUAACGGUAAUGACUAUACUUAUCUGACCUAAGAGAGGGGUGUAGUUACCGUGCAUAGAUAAAAAUCUAUGCACCGUGCAUAGAUUAUUAUGAACCCUUGGAUCAUUAGAUCAAAUUAUAAACAUCAAUUGUUAUUACUCAAUACUCAAUACUCACCACUCAAAACUCAAUACUCACAACUCAAUACUCAAUACUCAAUUAAAAACAUGAUCCAAUGGCUUAUUAGCCAAUGCCCUAAGGGAGUACACUUACUUUGUGCAAGGAGGAAUAAUUUUGUACUCUAAAAUGUUCGUAAUAAAAUGAAACAUUGAAAUAAAGCAUAUUAAAAUAAAAUUAUUGUUUUCUCUCUUGGAA